AUAAAGGGGGGAUGGGGGUUGCUGAGAGAGAGACAUGCAGAGAAAGAAUGAGGAACAGAGAAAAAGAUCAAAUGGGGAUGCAUGAAUGAUGGCAAAAUGAUGCGUGAAAUGAGGGGAGCACGAGGUGCAAGCUAGAAGGCAGAGCUGGAUCCUUUGAAGACAAAUACAUUGAUCAUGACAUUACAUGAGACACAGACUGGAUAAACGUGGUGGGGGAAGCAGCACAGGAUUCUUCGAUGCGUUUCCCUCUGUACUAUUUUCCACCAUGAAAUAUUCAUCCCGACUUGACAUUAUGUAAAAGAGAACAGUGUGGGUGGACAGUCGUUCCAUGGCGAUAUAAAGGACAAUUUCUCUCCAGCCGAGUUAGUAGGACAGCACAAAUGACACAAAAGUUUGACAUUGCUGAUAUACUGCAGAGCCUGUUUUUUCUUGUGAACACUGGCAGCAAAACUAACAAUGACAGCAGAGAAGUGCUGUAGUCCUGCCUAUCAAAAUCGUAAGGACUCACAUUUGUGAGAUGUGUACUGUAUGUCCUUUAUCAUUCAGGAGCCAGAAGGAAUGCCAAGGCAGCAGUAGGUGUCAGCAUUGUUACAAAGAAGUGCACAAGUAAACAGAACUAGAGCUUCAGAGGGGACUGAAUGCUCAUGAAACCUAAGCAUAUGUCUCCAAAUAAUUAUUCUAGUUUUGGAAAGUCAUGCCUGUUUUUUCCUCCAACAGCAACUGGCUUAACAUCUUUUACUGCAUGACUAUGGUAUGCAAUUGUUUGCUUGUGAAAGUGAUCUUAGUCUGUUUAUUGUUGUAACAAUGUUUUUAUAAGAUAAGAUAAGAUGGAUCUUUAUUAUGCUUUUAUGCUACCUUAUGCCAAGUCUCUCUUAAAUGAACAAGAGAAAGAAACAAAACAAAAAUACAAAAGGAGCCAGUCAUAUGUGGAGUUUUCCUAAAUCUUUCAUAGUGUUGGCACUGUAAGGAGGAGGGAUCUGUCCAUGACGAGGCAGGUUAUAGCCAGAUAUCACUCAUAUGUCAGAAAACAAAUAGUGCAGCCUACUGCUUUAAACAUGAUUUGUCGUUCCACUCUGCAAAUCAAUGUCAGAACCUCUCAAUACAUCAUCA